rnacentral:rRNA from 1 species
AUUGAACGCUGGCGGCAGGCCUAACACAUGCAAGUCGAGCGGUAGCACAGAGAGCUUGCUCUCGGGUGACGAGCGGCGGACGGGUGAGUAAUGUCUGGGAAACUGCCUGAUGGAGGGGGAUAACUACUGUAAACGGUAGCUAAUACCGCAUAACGUCGCAAGACCAAAGUGGGGGACCUUCGGGCCUCAUGCCAUCAGAUGUGCCCAGAUGGGAUUAGCUAGUAGGUGGGGUAACGGCUCACCUAGGCGACGAUCCCUAGCUGGUCUGAGAGGAUGACCAGCCACACUGGAACUGAGACACGGUCCAGACUCCUACGGGAGGCAGCAGUGGGGAAUAUUGCACAAUGGGCGCAAGCCUGAUGCAGCCAUGCCGCGUGUGUGAAGAAGGCCUUCGGGUUGUAAAGCACUUUCAGCGGGGAGGAAGGCGAUAAGGUUAAUAACCUUGUCGAUUGACGUUACCCGCAGAAGAAGCACCGGCUAACUCCGUGCCAGCCGCCGCAGUAA